rnacentral:rRNA from 1 species
UGAGUACGACGGAGCACGUGAAAUUCCGUCGGAAUCUGGGAGGACCAUCUCCUAAGGCUAAAUACUCUCUAGUGACCGAUAGUGAACCAGUACCGUGAGGGAAAGGUGAAAAGUACCCCGGAAGGGGAGUGAAAGAGAACUUGAAACCGUGUGCUUACAAGUAGUCAGAGCCCGUUAAUGGGUGAUGGCGUGCCUUUUGUAGAAUGAACCGGCGAGUUACGAUCUGAUGCAAGGUUAAGCAGAAAAUGUGGAGCCGUAGCGAAAGCGAGUCUGAAUAGGGCGAAUGAGUAUUUGGUCGUAGACCCGAAACCAGGUGAUCUACCCUUGGUCAGGUUGAAGUUCAGGUAACACUGAAUGGAGGACCGAACCGACUUACGUUGAAAAGUGAGCGGAUGAACUGAGGGUAGCGGAGAAAUUCCAAUCGAACUUGGAGAUAGCUGGUUCUCUCCGAAAUAGCUUUAGGGCUAGCCUCAAGUGAUGAUUAUUGGAGGUAGAGCACUGUUUGGACGAGGGGCCCCUCUCGGGUUACCGAAUUCAGACAAACUCCGAAUGCCAAAUAAUUUAACUUGGGAGUCAGAAUGUGGGUGAUAAGGUCCAUAUUCGAAAGGGAAACAGCCCAGACCACCAGCUAAGGUCCCAAAAUAUAUGUUAAGUGGAAAAGGAUGUGGCGUUGCCCAGACAACUAGGAUGUUGGCUUAGAAGCAGCCAUCAUUUAAAGAGUGCGUAAUAGCUCACUAGUCGAGUGACACUGCGCCGAAAAUGUACCGGGGCUAAACAUAU